rnacentral:rRNA from 1 species
CCUGAGAAAUCCAAAAGAUCGAAUGGAAAGAUUCAGCGUCAGUGUGAUUGGCUUGCGUGUGAUUGUCGAUAUUUUCGGCGGUUGUCCUCGUUGGCAAUGCCUGUCGAAGAUACGCGAUCGCUGCGUCAUGUCCGAUCGCGCCGGCGUGCACUUCUUUCCUAGUAGGACAUCGCGACCCGUUGGGUGAUGGUCUACGGCCCCGUUUGGUAGUCUAGUCGCGAACGUUCGCGCGUUCGUGGCAGACCAAUGCGGUUAAUAGCCUUGAUCCAUCUGCCCGACGGUAUUUCGAAAGCUUUUAAACCAUGGUAUCGAGCCGCAUUCGAAUGCGUUCGGCGCGCGCGAUUUUUUUCGUCUCGCACUCGUUAUUUUACGUACUUGGUUACGUUAACGAGCUCGUCGGGAUGAAUGAUCGUCGUGUCAUCGAACUGGCUAAAUUACCGGUCGGCGAUGCUUUUGCUUUGGAUACUUUCAGG